rnacentral:rRNA from 1 species
GACGAACGCUGGCGGCGUGCUUAACACAUGCAAGUCGAGCGGUAAGGCCCUUCGGGGUACACGAGCGGCGAACGGGUGAGUAACACGUGGGUGACCUGCCUUUAGCUCUGGGAUAAGCCUGGGAAACUGGGUCUAAUACCGGAUAUGACCUCAUGACGCAUGUCGUGGGGUGGAAAGCCUUGUGCGGCUAGAGAUGGGCCCGCGGCCUAUCAGCUUGUUGGUGGGGUGANGGCCUACCAAGGCGACGACGGGUAGCCGGCCUGAGAGGGCGACCGGCCACACUGGGACUGAGACACGGCCCAGACUCCUACGGGAGGCAGCAGUGGGGAAUCUUGCGCAAUGGGCGAAAGCCUGACGCAGCGACGCCGCGUGAGGGAUGACGGCC